UCCCUGGUGGCUCAGAUGGUAAAGAAUCUGCCUGCAAUGUAGGAGACCCAGGUUCAAUCCCUGGGUUGGGAA
rfam:Ovis aries breed Texel chromosome 3, whole genome shotgun sequence.